GUGGUCUCUUUCAACAGCACAUAUACUUAAACUGAAGUGACACACGGAAGAUUAGCAUGGCCUCUGAAUGAGAAUGACAGCAAACUCGUGAAGCAGUCUACAUUUUU
ensembl:snRNA Rnu6-67 RNA, U6 small nuclear 67